GGCUUCCUUCAGAGAUUUCAAGUUGCUUUGAAGUAGGAAUCGCGACCACUCUCUCAUAAUGUGUAUAGAGAAAAUGGCGUAGAAGAAUUUGUGCAAAUUACUCCAGUGCAAAUUAUUUUAAUAACAAAGUGUGAUGAAGUCCAAACAUCACAGGAAGAACAGCAAAUGAUUUUGGUGAAGUGCAUCAUUAAGAGAUGUGACUGGAAAAAUACACCAAAACCCCAAUACCCAUCUCCAUGCAAGCUCCAAAAAAGCUCUGUGCAAGUAUCAGCAUGAGAAAGAUGCACAUCACACAAUGAGCUGAAGUAAAUUGCAUGACGAAAUGGGAGAGGACUAAGGAGACAUCGUCUGUGAGUGGGGAGCACCACAUGUCCUUUGAAUUGCUGAGGAAGAAGUUUUGAAAGAUUUUCUGAACAAAGUGUAUGUUAAAUAUUUUGGGGUCCUGCAGUUGUCGUUGCGCACUUUGCUAGACACAUGAUAAUGCCUAAGUAUAUUGAGUAAAAAUAUCUAAAACCAUGGUUAAACACCAGCUUUAUAUGAAGUUGCAGAAUUAAAUGGAUAUUACCUGUGAAGACAGGGAUUUAGUGAAAUUCCUUUGGAUUUUUCACACAAGCCAAGUAUUKGAUUGCUUUUGACUUAUCUAGAGGUUUAUUUGGAUAAUGGCUGCAAAUUUGGAACCACUUUUGUACGUCAGAAGACAUCACAGACUUUCAGCGUUAUGCCCUUUGGGCUAACAUACACCCAGAGUCUUUUACAGAUUAAUGAAUCCUGUCUUACAAAGAUAGUUUAUGAAAUAUUUGUUUGUUUAUAAGAAGUCACACUAGCAAUGUCUGCUUUAGAAAAGCAUAAGAAAGGCUAAAUUUAAAAGUGAAAUGCCAAGGAAAAUUAACUUCCUGUGACAUCAGGGCAUAAUUUCAGUAAUGACAUUGUAUCCUACAAGAACUCAGAACAUUCAGUUGUGAAACAUCCAUCACUGCUAGAGAUAUUAGGUAACAAGCGAGAGGGAUUUAACCAUUUCCAUUUCUACAAAAUUUACUUCAUUUAUAUAAACUACAAAGCUGAAAGCAUCUCACUUGAGGAAGAGCUGAACAGUGAGUAAAAUACAUUGUAAAUUUUCCAACAGGGAAUCUCCUAUUUCACCUGCUUUUGUUUUCAACCAUUUUAAGGUUAGGACUAACAGCUUGUUGGGCGUCCUGUGUAUUCGAACGUGUCAGGGCUGUGCGAGUUGUCCCAGACGGAGACCCGGGGGUUACCCAAUGCAGAAGCCUCCUCUGUG
rnacentral:lncRNA from 1 species